UACGGGGGGGGCGAGCGUUGUCCGAAGUUACUGGGCGUAAAGCGCGCGUAGGCGGGUUGGUAAGUCCGCUGUGAAAGCCCGGAGCUCAACUCCGGAGGGUCGGUGGAUACUGCCAGUCUUGAAGGUGCUAGGGGGAGAUGGAAUUACCGGUGUAGCGGUGAAAUGCGUAGAUAUCGGUAGGAACACCAGUGGCGAAGGCGGUCUCCUGGGGCAUUCUUGACGCUGAUGCGCGAAAGCUGGGGGAGCAACCGGG
rnacentral:rRNA from 1 species